CCGGGCUCCCCAGAAUUGGACCUCUGCUGUGGGCCAAUGGCUUCCCAUCAAGCAUCUCAAAAAUCUGUUCUUUUCCCCCAAAACUGGAUUUCAAGAUUUUCCGUCACUUAAUUCAAGUAUCCCCAUGAUCUUCCACAGCCUGCCAGUGAGGUGCUGUUUAAUGAUAGAAGGUCAGCCCCAUGACAGCAAGGACCUUAACUGCAUCUUCCUGCCUACAGAGGGCCUGGCACAUAGCGGGUGCUCAAUAAAUAUUCAUUUCAUGAAAAUAGCA